UGUGAAACAUGGCAUAUAUACAUGAUAUUACAUCAUUCAUACUAUUACACGACUCUACACUAAGUAAUCAAAGUAGGACUUCACAUGACAAUUAGUCAUGCAUAAGACAUUUAAGUAUGUUAUCACAUCACCAAUCAAACAAACUAUGGUUCAUGAAUUCCAAACUUUCUACUAGAAUUAAUACAUACAAGCAUCAGUUUACUUCACCAUGUGGUAGAGCAUUGAACUAGAUUUCCAAUGAAUCUGACCAAGCCCCAAACGAAGUUAUGAAACUCAUUUUAUGGCGGUUACAAGGUGCGCAAUCAAUUGUUGUUUUGGUGCAAUCGAAUGUAGGGUCUAUUUUACACAAAAAUCACGCACAAACAUGGUAUCAAUUGAUUUUCCCCAUAAAGCAAUAAAUUUUAGGGUCUAGUUUCUCCAAACUCUGUUAAAGGAUCAAUCGAUUGACUCAAAUGAGCAAUUGAUUGUAGUUACAUUUGGGAAAACACAAGUUAGAUAAAUUGGAAGGUGUCAAUCAAUUUUCUUAGGGGAGCAAUCAAUUUCUCCAGAUAAGUUUUCCAAAUAUUCAUCCCCAUAACACAUAUCUUCAAGCAUGCAAUCGAUUUCCUUGAACAUCAUCUAACAUAAUCAAAUGAAUCACAACAUAUUCAACCAACACAUGUGUGUCACAGAUUCAACAAAUUUCAAGCACUUCAAGCAUUUGAUCAAAUAGAAACAUGAAACUUAACCUAAAUCCUAUAUACAUUUCUAUAUCCAAUCCCUAAAAGCUAAACUAAGCUAUGAACCAGACCUUUGAACAAAACCUAGAUUUUUGCUUUGAAGAAGAAUGAUGAUUAUGAUGAUGAGCGCUUUCAUAAGCUAAAUUUCCUCCAAAAAUUUCCAAUUCACGAACAUGCAAAAUAACGUGGCUUGAUGAAGACUCCCUCUCUUUCUCUUUUCACGCUUCUCUUUCCUCCUCUAAGCAAAGAUUCUGAUUUUCAUAGUUAAAAUAGAGAGAGUGAAAUGGUGCGAAUGAGAUUUUUUCUCACAAAUUUGGCUUUUGUACAUUCUUAUAGAACUGCCCAUUUUGUCCUUGCAUAGUAUCCAAUUUCUCUAAUGUACGCCCUUCACUUAAUCCUUCUACUAAUCAAGUUAUAAUCUUGUUAGACAUGUCACUAAUUCCAAUUAUUAUUAACCUAGAAGCACC
rnacentral:lncRNA from 1 species